rnacentral:rRNA from 1 species
AUUGAACGCUGGCGGCAGGCCUAACACAUGCAAGUCGAACGGUAACAGGGAGAAGCUUGCUUCUUUGCUGACGAGUGGCGGACGGGUGAGUAAUGUCUGGGAAACUGCCUGAUGGAGGGGGAUAACUACUGGAAACGGUAGCUAAUACCGCAUAACGUCGCAAGACCAAAGAGGGGGACCUUCGGGCCUCUUGCCAUCGGAUGUGCCCAGAUGGGAUUAGCUAGUAGGUGGGGUAACGGCUCACCUAGGCGACGAUCCCUAGCUGGUCUGAGAGGAUGACCAGCCACACUGGAACUGAGACACGGUCCAGACUCCUACGGGAGGCAGCAGUGGGGAAUAUUGCACAAUGGGCGCAAGCCUGACGCAGCCAUGCCGCGUGUAUGAAGAAGGCCUUCGGGUUGUAAAGUACUUUCAGCGGGGAGGAAGGGAGUAAAGUUAAUACCUUUGCUCAUUGACGUUACCCGCAGAAGAAGCACCGGCUAACUCCGUG